UUGAUAGUUCUGGUUAUGUUGUGAUUGUGAGGACCCGUUCGACUACGUUGGUUCGUCUACUUCAUGGACUUGGUCUUCUUCCUAGCGGGAUUUCAGGCAAGAUGACCGUCACCCUAGAUCUCAUUGCUAUCAUUGCUAUGGUAGUUGUCUCGAUGCUAUCGCUAUGUCGCGCUUCCUACCACUUGUUUAUCAAGCCUCCCAAAUUGCCAUGAUACCCUCUAACCUUUUUCACCCUUCCUAGCAACCGUUAUUUGGCUAUGUUACCGCUUUGCUCAACCCCUCUUAUAGCGUUGCUAGUUUCAGGUGCAGUGCAGGUUGUUCCAUGUUGGAACAUGGAUAUCUUGGGAUAGCACAAUAUCUCUUAUUUUAAUUAAUGCAUCUAUAUACUUGGUAAAGGGUGGAAGGCUCGGCCUUUUGCCUGGUGUUUUGUUCCACUCUUGCCGUCCUAGUUUCCAUCAUACCGGUGUUGUAUUCCUUGAUUUUGCAUUCCAAACAUGAUGAGGGUUUAUGGGCCCCUCUUGAUAGUUCGCUUUGAAUAAAACUCUUCCAGCAAGGCCCAACAUUGGUUUUACCAUUUGCCUAACAUAACUAAAAUUUAAAUAGGGGAUUUUCUCCGGACCCCUAGUUUCUUAAUCAACCCCCCACGGGCCAGUCCUCCUUGUAGUGUUGGUCCAAAAUGGGCAGAUGUGGGGCCACCCCGGGGCAACUCGAGGUCUGGUUUUACUCAUAGGCUGACCUAUCCGGUGUGCCCUGAGAACGAGAUAUGCGCAACUCCAAUCGGGAUUUUUCAGCACAUUCGGGCGGUCUUGCUGGUUUUGUUUUACCAUUGUCAAAAUGUCUUGUGCACCGGGAUCCCAAGUCUGAUCGGAUGUCCCAUGAUGGAGGAUUGUCUCCGCGGAUUGUGAGCUUAUAAUGGUCUAAGCGGGGACACCCCUGCAGGGUUUGGUCUUUCAAAAGUCGUGCACGCGGUUAUGUGGCAGAUGGGAGUUUUUAAUAUCCGAUUGUAGAGAACUUGACACCAGAUCCAAACUAAAAUACACAAACCGCAUGUGUAACCGUGAUGGUCUCUUUUCGGGUGAGUUCGAGAAGAGAACACGGCGGGGUUAUGUUUGAACGUAAGUUGUUCAGGAUCAGUUCUUGAUCAUUACUAGUUUGCGACCGUUUGCGUAGCUUCUCAUCUUAUUCUUGUACUCGUAAGUUAGCCACCAUACAUGCUUAGUCGUUUGCUGCAACCUCACCACUUAUCCUUUCCUUUCCCAUUAAGCUUUGCUAGUCUUGAUACCCAUGGUAACGGGAUUGCUAAGUCCUCAUGGCUCACAGAUUACUACAACAAAGUUGUAGGUACAAGUAAUGCGAUGAUCUGACGCGAGUGCGGUGCUUGAUUGUUUGGAGUUCUUCUGCUUCUUCUUCGAUCAAGGGAUAUAGGUUCCAGGUCGGGAGCCUGGGCUAGCAAGGUGGAUGUCGUUUUUCUUUUCAUUUGAUUUCAUCCGUAGUCGGAUCCUGCUCUUCUGUAUGGUGAUUGCUAUGUAUUGAUGAACUCUUGUAUUCAUGUUGUAGCUUGUGGCGAGGGUAAGCCUUUAUCUUGUAUUCUCAUAUAUUUAGUAAAUGGUAUGUUGUAAUGAUAUCCACCUUGCUAUGCACUCGAAAUGCGGUUGUGCCCCAAUCAUGAGUUCAUCACGUGAUUGGGAUAGAAUCACAUCUUGGGCGCUGCAUGCAUUCUCAAG
rnacentral:lncRNA from 1 species